GAUGAACGCUGGCGGCGUGCCUAAUACAUGCAAGUCGAGCGAACAGAUAAGGAGCUUGCUCCUUUGACGUUAGCGGCGGACGGGUGAGUAACACGUGGAUAACCUACCUAUAAGACUGGGAUAACUUCGGGAAACCGGAGCUAAUACCGGAUAACAUAUUGAACCGCAUGGUUCACUAGUGAAAGGCGGCUUUGCUGUCACUUAUAGAUGGAUCCGCGCCGUAUUAGCUAGUUGGUAAGGUAACGGCUUACCAAGGCAACGAUACGUAGCCGACCUGAGAGGGUGAUCGGCCACACUGGAACUGAGACACGGUCCAGACUCCUACGGGAGGCAGCAGUAGGGAAUCUUCCGCAAAGGGCGAAAGCCUGACGGAGCAACGCCGCGUGAGUGAUGAAGGUCUUCGGAUCGUAAAACUCUGUUAUCAGGGAAGAACAAAUGUGUAAGUAACUGUGCACAUCUUGACGGUACCUGAUCAGAAAGCCACGGCUAACUACGUG
rnacentral:rRNA from 1 species